GUGUUCAAUACAGCAGCACAUGUACUAAAACUGGAACAAUACAGAGGUGAUUAGAAUGGCCCCCGAAAGAAAGACAUGCAAAUUCAUGAAGUUUUCCAUAUAUAU